UGGGGAAUUUUGGACAAUGGGCGAAAGCCUGAUCCAGCAAUGCCGCGUGUGUGAAGAAGGCCUUCGGGUUGUAAAGCACUUUUGUCCGGAAAGAAAUCCUUGGCUCUAAUACAGUCGGGGGAUGACGGUACCGGAAGAAUAGGCACCGGCUAACUACGUGCCAGCAGCCGCGGUAAUACGUAGGGUGCAAGCGUUAAUCGGAAUUACUGGGCGUAAAGCGUGCGCAGGCGGUUUGCUAAGACCGAUGUGAAAUCCCCGGGCUCAACCUGGGAACUGCAUUGGUGACUGGCAGGCUAGAGUAUGGCAGAGGGGGGUAGAAUUCCACGUGUAGCAGUGAAAUGCGUAGAGAUGUGGAGGAAUACCGAUGGCGAAGGCAGCCCCCUGGGCCAAUACUGACGCUCAUGCACGAAAGCGUGGGGAGCAAACAGGAUUAGAUACCCUGGUAGUCCACGCCCUAAACGAUGUCAACUAGUUGUUGGGGAUUCAUUUCCUUAGUAACGUAGCUAACGCGUGAAGUUGACCGCCUGGGGAGUACGGUCGCAAGAUUAAAACUUAAAGGAAUUGACGGGGUCAUAGCUGUUUCCU
rnacentral:rRNA from 1 species